AUGAAGACAGGCAGAAACUGCUUCGCCGAUAGAAAUCUCCGAUCAGGAAUUUUAGGUGGCGACAUUGGCUCAUGCUGUAGAAACACAUUAUCGGGUCUAACGGUCGUCUCGCACCGAACUAUGCAUGUGCAGGCCAUCAAAUCAAAGGCCCCAGGCAGCCCUGCAGUUGGACUCGUUUGUGAAUCUGAUCCUCUGCAUGUCUGAGAUGAUUCUCUAGUCCCACUGGGCGGCAGGUAGUCUAGCAGAUUCAAAGAACAGCCCAAACACUGAAAGAGAAAACUGAUGAAUAAAUGAUGAAGUGGCAUUUUGUGUGACAACACGGCAGCAAGGCUCGGCCAGAGAGGAAGUUGACACUGUUACCGACCGUCAGUCCUUCUCGGUUUGGCAGACGAUUUUUGUGGGGAUAUCAUUUUCGAUGUGGAAGUGCACGCACUGUGGGUGAAGUCUGAAGUUCAUAUGGUUACAAAUGGUUGGUUUUAAAAAGCACGAGAAAAAAAAUCUCUUUAAAUAUUCAUGUCGCACAACCACAAGGCAGUAAAAACAAAACGUGAGCCUUCAAAUUGGCAGUAAAUGUAAGGUAUCGAAACUACCAAGUUAGACCACACCCGUCUGAAGUGAGGAA
rnacentral:lncRNA from 1 species